UAUUGGUCUAGAAAUACUCAACGAAAAAAGGCACGCGUCAACUAGGUAAGUCACCACCCGGUAUUUAGGAAGAAAUACUUGUAGGAUUCGCUUGGAUUGCAUGCAUGCUAGUACCUUUGCCUUAGAUUAGCUAUCCAUGAAUGAGAUUAGUCAGAUUGA